CAGUCGACGAACUUCCGUUAUUGAUUAUGACGUACUUGUACUGAUUGAGAUUUUAACACGAAGUGAGUGGCGAACGGGUGAGUAACACGUGGGUAACCUGCCCAGAAGUAGGGGAUAACACCUGGAAACAGAUGCUAAUACCGUAUAACAGAGAAAACCGCAUGGUUUUCUUUUAAAAGAUGGCUCUGCUAUCACUUCUGGAUGGACCCGCGGCGUAUUAGCUAGUUGGUGAGGUAAAGGCUUACCAAGGCAGUGAUACGUAGCCGACCUGAGAGGGUAAUCGGCCACAUUGGGACUGAGACACGGCCCAGACUCCUACGGGAGGCAGCAGUAGGGAAUCUUCCACAAUGGACGCAAGUCUGAUGGAGCAACGCCGCGUGAGUGAAGAAGGGUUUCGGCUCGUAAAGCUCUGUUGUUAAAGAAGAACGUGGGUAAGAGUAACUGUUUACCCAGUGACGGUAUUUAACCAGAAAGCCACGGCUAACUACGUGCCAGCAGCCGCGGUAAUACGUAGGUGGCAAGCGUUAUCCGGAUUUAUUGGGCGUAAAGCGAGCGCAGGCGGUCUUUUAAGUCUAAUGUGAAAGCCUUCGGCUCAACCGAAGAAGUGCAUUGGAAACUGGGAGACUUGAGUGCAGAAGAGGACAGUGGAACUCCAUGUGUAGCGGUGAAAUGCGUAGAUAUAUGGAAGAACACCAGUGGCGAAGGCGGCUGUCUGGUCUGCAACUGACGCUGAGGCUCGAAAGCAUGGGUAGCGAACAGGAUUAGAUACCCUGGUAGUCCAUGCCGUAAACGAUGAUUACUAAGUGUUGGAGGGUUUCCGCCCUUCAGUGCUGCAGCUAACGCAUUAAGUAAUCCGCCUGGGGAGUACGACCGCAAGGUUGAAACUCAAAAGAAUUGACGGGGGCCCGCACAAGCGGUGGAGCAUGUGGUUUAAUUCGAAGCUACGCGAAGAACCUUACCAGGUCUUGACAUCUUCUGACAGUCUAAGAGAUUAGAGGUUCCCUUCGGGGACAGAAUGACAGGUGGUGCAUGGUUGUCGUCAGCUCGUGUCGUGAGAUGUUGGGUUAAGUCCCGCAACGAGCGCAACCCUUAUUACUAGUUGCCAGCAUUAAGUUGGGCACUCUAGUGAGACUGCCGGUGACAAACCGGAGGAAGGUGGGGACGACGUCAAAUCAUCAUGCCCCUUAUGACCUGGGCUACACACGUGCUACAAUGGAUGGUACAACGAGUCGCGAGACCGCGAGGUUAAGCUAAUCUCUUAAAACCAUUCUCAGUUCGGACUGUAGGCUGCAACUCGCCUACACGAAGUCGGAAUCGCUAGUAAUCGCGGAUCAGCAUGCCGCGGUGAAUACGUUCCCGGGCCUUGUACACACCGCCCGUCACACCAUGAGAGUUUGUAACACCCAAAGCCGGUGG
rnacentral:rRNA from 1 species